rnacentral:rRNA from 1 species
GAUGAACGCUGGCGGCGUGCCUAAUACAUGCAAGUCGAACGGGGAGUAGCAAUUCUCUUAGUGUCGAACGGGUGAGUAACGCGUUGGUACCUGCCCCGAAGCGGGGGUUAACGGACCGAAAGGUCCGCUAAUACCCCAUGUGCUCGGUAACGAGUAAAGGUUAAAAACACUUUGGGAGGGGCGUGCGUCCCAUCAGCUAGUUGGUAAGGUAACGGCUUACCAAGGCGAUGACGGGUAGGGGACCUGAGAGGGUGGCCCCCCACAAUGGAACUGAAACACGGUCCAUACACCUACGUGUGGCAGCAGUAGGGAAUAUAGGUAAUGGGCGCAAGACUGAACCAGCAGCGCCGCGUGUGCGAUGACGGCCUUCGGGUUGUAAAGCACUUUUGACUGGGACGAGGAAGGACGGUACCGGUCGAAGCAGCCUCGGCUAACUACGUG